UCUGUAGUGGCAGAAUCAAGUGCACUGAAUUUAAGAUUCAGAUAUGAAAUAUCUAUUUCCUAUAGAA
rnacentral:tRNA from 1 species